CUAGAUCAGUUCUUCAUGCAAAUUUUGCUACUUUUCUCUCCUCUAAGAGCAAUUCAGCUACUCACACUGACCCCGUGCCUUUCUUUUUCAUGAAGCAUUGUAAACCAAGAUAUGAACUCAUGCAUAUGGAGUCAUUUGUAAUAUGCUUGCACUUCGUUACUACCCACUGUUUUACACUGUUGCACAUUUUCUGUUCCAAUUGCCAUUGAUUCUGCAUGUCAGAGGUGUAUUAGAUGUCAUGCCAUACUUGCACUUACCUAUAUAUAUAUGGACACCCACCCACCCACCAGUAAGUCUAUCUCGAAAGUUGCUUGGCCAGUAAUUGAUACAGUGCUCCUACCAGGUUUUAGUUUCCAGCCAUCAAACCAGAUAUUAAGUGCUCAGUCCAUCACAAAUCAAUGACACAUUGGAGAAAACCAAAGAUUUUUACCAUCUCUAACUAUAUGCAAGUCAUCUACCGGCGCUUGAUAUGGACAACAUAUGUAAUCAUCCCUACAACGAUUUCUGCAGAAACAGAUGGAGAAAUCGUGCUGUUAUCACUGGAGGGAAUGCUUGUAAUUCUAGGUUCAAUAGUUGUUUUGAAGAUGGACAUCCUUCUGGAUGGGAUGAAAACUAUUUCAUCUAGUUAGU
rnacentral:lncRNA from 1 species